AUUGAACGCUGGCGGCAGGCCUAACACAUGCAAGUCGAGCGGAUCGCCGGACGGGUGCGUAUUGCCUAUGUAUCUGCCUGUUCGUGGGGGAUAACGUCCGGUACUGGGCGCUGAUACUACUUCCUAUCACCUUCGCCUAGGUCGGAUUAGCUAGUUGGUGGGGUAAAGGCCUACCAAGGCGACGAUCCGUAACUGGUCCUAGAGGAUGAUCAGUCACACUGGAACUGAGACACGGUCCAGACUCCUACGGGAGGCAGCAGUGGGGAAUAUUGGACAAUGGGCGAAAGCCUGAUGCAGCCAUGCCGCGUGUAUGAAGAAGGUCUUCGGAUUGUAAAGAACUUUAAGUGGGGAGGCGUUACCAACAGAAGAAGCACCGGCUAACUUCGUGCCAGCAGCCGCGGUAAUUC
rnacentral:rRNA from 1 species